ensembl:lncRNA
UGUGCCAGGAAACGUGCUAAUUGCCAGGUGUGACACGUUAACCUCCUCUGGAGGAAGUGCGUGAGAAGCAGUUCAGCUGCUGGCUGAAGUGAAGUCACAGCCCUAGUAUGUGUAGGUGCUGUAUUACCAUUUGCAGAAGAAAGGAACCUGAUGCAAUCUUCAAGGUGCAGCAUGGCAAAGCUUUGUGAGAUGCUUUUUUCUGUGCUUUGCUUAAAAUGGUGGAAAACAAGUACUUCUUCAAGAAACAUUGGUGAUGCUUCUUACUGGAAUUGCUGAUGGAGUUAAGGCCUGCGAGAUAUCCAGAAAAGUAACAUAAAGAGAGAAAUUAUAUUAUGAUGGAUCCUGUCUUUUCCAAUGGAAAGCAUCUUGCAAUAAAUGCUAUACAAAAUCCAUCAAGUGAAGCACAAGUAUAGCUUUGCUAUGCUAUUACAGAGCAAGUACUUUCAAAAGCAUCCAUUGGAGGACACUAGCACCCAACAAAUUACAGAUCAACGCAUACAAUGUUAUCUAAUGACUAUAAAUAGUCUUUUAUGGUUGAGCAGAGCAAGGAACUCACAAGAAGAUCCUCCAAGGGUAGCAGGUGCUGCUUGUGUGAGGGUUGCUGAUUGUGCAUUGCUCAGUGUUCUCAUCUGUUAUGAACAUUUGUCACCUGCUGCUAUGAUCUCCAUCUUCCAGGUGAAGAAAACAGUCUCUUAAUGCUUAUUGCACCUGGCAUUGUGAAUAAUAAAUGUUUAGAAUACUG